AUCACUGGGGAUCUUGUUAAAGUGCAGAUUCUAAUUCAGCAGGUCUGGGGUCUGAGAUUCUGAAUUUCUAACAAGCUCCCACGGGAUGC
rnacentral:miRNA from 1 species